AUGAUAUGUGCUUAUUUCAGAGAUAAAAUUUUGAGAACUUUCUACUCUUUUAGUAUUAGACAUGCAGCGCAACUGCAGAUAUGGACAAUUUGUAUUGCAGACCUUAUAGCACUGUUGGAGAAAUGUGAGCCAACAAUAAUUCGUCUUUGUCACCUGAUCAUAGGCAAUGGAUGCAGAUUUUGCUGCAUGAAAACCACCUGAUGGUCUGGCAGAGGGAAAAUCCUCCAUGACAAGGAACCUGGCAUCAAACCAGUUUGAUGGUACCAUAGCAGAGUCAGGUGGGUAGGGUCUCAGAGGUCAUGUCCACAUCACACACCACCACGUUCCUCCAGAUCAUGGGUAAAAAAUAGCAAUACUUCUAUUCAAAUCAUUCUAAUAUUUUCACUGUCUACAGAGAACAAUACAGUGUAUUAUUUCUUCAGCUGAAAUAAGAAAACACCCCAAUGGAUUGCGCUUGCUGAGCAAUCUGGUUGUAAAGGCAUUAUGGCAAACUGUGUGUGCCUUCUGUAGAGAGAAAUCUAAGCUGGAAAACAUUGUACCCUAGCUUUAUCUAACACUGGGUGAUGAAAACACUGAUCUCAAUCAUCAGCCCAGUCCUGGUGUAUAGAUAUACCGUGAGGGCAAAAAAAAACCAGCUAUCUUCUAUACUCUUCUUUUCUGUCUCUGAUUCAAACACGUAAAUUGAAUCAAGCACUUUUAUGUACAUAUUACAUAAACUGUAACAGAGGAGCUGACAAUACAGCCUCACUGGUGCUAUUACUGUAGACAGUGUUUGUCAUUCUCCUGUUUAUUUUCCAUAAGAUUUUUUACUCUUGGGAGUCAUCAUAAUACAAAACCUAGUAUUGUCAAUCCUCAGAUGAUGUUUUGUUUCUUUCUAGCUUUAGUUAUGCUCAAAAAAAAAAAAAGUGCAAAUAUCCAUCAGCCCUCACAGCAUCACCGUGAGAAAGCAUAAGGAGGAAUUUCUGACCUGCUUCACACAAAGGAAAAUGAGGCAGUGCAAGAAAGGAGCUGCUGAAGGUCGUAUACCCAGUCUGUGACAGAAACAGGGUCAGAACUCAAGACAUGGUUAUUAACUUUAUUUCCCCACCCCCUUUUUUUUCCCCUCCUUACCACCUCUAUCCCCACUGUCAGUGUGUCUUUGCUUGGUACAGGCUGAAGUGACUGAUUUACCUUUAAAAUAACUAACUGGACAACCUGUUGU
rnacentral:lncRNA from 1 species